rnacentral:misc_RNA from 1 species
GAUGAAGAACGCAGCGAAAUGCGAUAAGUAGUGUGAAUUGCAGAAUUCAGUGAAUCAUCGAAUCUUUGAACGCACAUUGCGCCCGGUAGUAUUCUGCCGGGCAUGCCUGUUCGAGCGUCAUUUCAACCAUCAAGCCCCAGCGCUUGUGUUGGGGGCCUGCGGCUGCCGCAGCCCCCUAAAAGCAGUGGCGGGCUCGCUAUCACACCGAGUGCAGUAGUUCAUCUUCUCUCCGGUCUUGUGAGGCGGGUUCCGGCCGUGAAACACCCCACUACAUUCAAGGUUGACCUCGGAUCAGGUAGGAAUACCCGCUGAACUUAAGCAUAUCAUAAGCGGAGGA